rnacentral:misc_RNA from 1 species
GAUGAAGAACGCAGCGAAAUGCGAUAAGUAGUGUGAAUUGCAGAAUUCAGUGAAUCAUCGAAUCUUUGAACGCACAUUGCGCCCUUUGGUAUUCCUUAGGGCAUGCCUGUUCGAGCGUCAUUUAAACCUUCAAGCUCAGCUUGGUGUUGGGUGACUGUCCGCUUCACCGCGGACUCGCCUCAAAAUUAUUGGCGGCCGGUACAUUGGCUUCGAGCGCAGCAGAAACGCGAACUCGGGCCCGUCGUAUUGGUUCCCAGAAGCUAUCUUCACAAUUUUGACCUCGGAUCAGGUAGGGAUACCCGCUGAACUUAAGCAUAUCAAUAAGCGGAGGA